UUAUAUCCCAUAAAUAAAUAAAAAGUAAAUAUCAGUUUAUUAUCCUCAUAUUUUAUAGUUUUCAACAUUUAGUGCAUUAAAUUUUUUUUGUUCCAGAAUCAAACCUAAAGUGUAAAUUUUGAAACGAUCUCAUACAUUCGUUAAUUAAAUUGUUAAGUCUGUGGACAAUAACUAAGCACCGCAUAUCAAUAAUAAUCUCAGGUAGAUAUUAAAAAAAAUUUAAAAUUUAAGAUUACAAAAUUACAAAAAAAAAAAAAAAAGUUGUUCUUCUCCUUCGAACAUCUUCUUCUUCUCCCUCCCUUCUCUAACCCUCAUCUCUUUCCUCUCUGCACACUCUCUCCCCUCCAUUCUCAGAAGCUUUGUCUGACAUUUGUAUCAUAUACUUCUUGUGCAGCCUCCAUUGAAACAACCCUGAAAUCAACUUCGACAAAUUAUAAAAUCAUCCAUCACAAAAAUCGUAAAGUUUGAAUCUUUACUAAAUCCCAACUGACCCAACAUCUAAAAGCAAAGCAGAACCACCCAACCCAGAACCCACGCGCCCUCGCCUCCUCCACUUCCAGCUUCUCAUCCCGCUCCUCCACCUUCUUCAACCACGCCGCUUCCCCGCCCAGCGCGCGCCUCAACGUCUGGACUGCGCCCCCCUCCGCCCAGUCCGUAGGAUUCUCAUUCGACCGCCCGACCUCUCCCAGCCGAUCCAUCUUCGUCUCGCCGUAUUUGUGAUCUCUGUCAAAUGGAUAAGGAUCAGAAGGUUGCAUCGGAAGAAGACCCUAAGAUCGAUUUGUUCGAAGAUGACGACGAGUUCGAGGAAUUCAACAUCAAUGAAGAUUGAAGACGGGGACAUCAUAUGCUUUCAGAAAUCUACUCCACUCGGAAGUGAAGAAGAGCUCAAAUAUUCCAAUGUCCCUUCAUUUCUGACAAGGUUGAAAAAAGAACAAGAGGAGGACAAAAAGAGAUACAAGGCACAAGCUCACCUUUAUACUACUAUUAAGGUUGCUCGAGAUGAGGACCUGGUCAAACAAAUAGGAAGGGAUAUAUAUUUUGACCUUGUGGACCAUGACAAAGUUCGUAGUUUCACUAUUAAGAAACAAAUGCCCUUUAAUCUUUUCAAGGGUCUGGUUGCACUAGAGUGCAUACCAAUGCAAUUUCAGCAGUUUUGGAUUUGGGCCAUGAGACAAAACCACACAUAUCGCCCCAUUCAACCAUUGACACCCGAGGAACAAUUAGAAUCAGUCAAAAAAUUGGAAGGUCUACCAAAUAAAGAACACAAAAACUGCAAGCUAAAGUUAUUUUUGGAAGAUCUUGGGCUGGAUCAACGUCCUAUUCCUCUGCCUGACAAAACUAAGGAAGAUAUCCUGCUUUUCUUUAAGCUUUAUGAACCUGAGAAACAAAAACUAGGUUUUGUUGGUAGGUUUUUUGUGAAGAGUUUAGCAAGCCAGUAGAGAUUUUAGCAAAAUAAAAUCAACUGGCUGGUUUUGCCCCUGAUGAAGAAAUUGAGCUUUAUGAGGAAAUAAAGUUUGAUCCUUGUAUCAUGUGCCAGCACAUUCACAAGUGGACGUCAUUUCGUCUAAGUCAGCGAGAUAUGAGGAGUGAUGAGCUACAUAAAUUGUAGCGAGCUGCAUGAUGUAGUGAGAUACAUGAAGGAGCUAUAUGAAGGAGUGAUGAAGGAGCUACAUACGUUGUAUGUACAAAAGGGAAGAUGCUUUUAUCUGCACGUCUUCGAAAGAAUUCAAGUUUGUAUUUUCGGAGUUUGAGGACUUAUGUUAUUAUGUUCAAACACAUAUCUUAGGUUUGUAAUGAAUGUAUUGGCUUUACCACAUUGAUCUUAUGUAAGUUUGUUUUUAUUAACGAUAAUACAAAAUAUUCUUUAA